rnacentral:rRNA from 1 species
AUUGAACGCUGGCGGCAUGCCUAACACAUGCAAGUCGAACGGUAACAGGCCCUUCGGGGUGCUGACGAGUGGCGAACGGGUGAGUAAUACGUAGGAAUCUGCCCAGUAGUGGGGGAUAAC